CUUCAAGGACCAUAACCACUACAAUUCUCUGUAGUUGUUAUGGUGACAGUAAUGUAAGUCGUCAGAUCUGCCUGGCAUUGCUUGACUCAUUCGGUGAGCACAAUCGGUUAAGCUCUCAACCAAUGAGCUGGCCUUGCACGGCAUGAGCCUCCGGCUCUUAAUAUUGGAAGCUACUGGAACCUGUUAAACCCCUAGCUAAGUUGACUAUUAAC